AUUGAACGCUGGCGGCGUGCCUAAUACAUGCAAGUCGAACGAGGGGCGGACGGGUGAGUAAAACGUGGGAACCUACCCAUCAGAGGGGGAUAACUACUGGAAACUGUGGCUAAUACCGCAUACUAUCGGAUGAACACUUAUGGGAUUAGCUAGUAGGUGGGGUAAAGGCUCACCUAGGCUACGAUCUCUAGCUGGUCUGAGAGGAUGAUCAGCCACACUGGGACUGAGACACGGCCCAGACGCCUACGGGAGGCAGCAGUGGGGAAUAUUGCACAAUGGGCGCAAGCCUGAUACAGCCAUGCCGCGUGUAUGAAGAAGGCCUUAGGGUUGUAAAGUACUUUCAGCGGGGAGGCGUUACCCGCAGAAGAAGCACCGGCUAACUCCGUGCCAGCAGCCGCGGUAAUAC
rnacentral:rRNA from 1 species